GACGAACGCUGGCGGCGUGCUUAACACAUGCAAGUCGAGCGAUGAAGCUCCUUCGGGAGUGGAUUAGCGGCGGACGGGUGAGUAACACGUGGGUAACCUGCCUCAUAGAGGGGAAUAGACUUUCGAAAGGAAGAUUAAUACCGCAUAAGAUUGUAGCUUCGCAUGAAGCAGCAAUUAAAGGAGUAAUCCGCUAUGAGAUGGAACCGCGUCGCAUUAGCUAGGUGGUGAGGUAACGGCUCACCAAGGCGAGGAUGCGUAGCCGAACUGAGAGGGUGAUCGGGCGCAUUGGGACUGAGACACGGCCCAGACGCCUACGGGAGGCAGCGGUGGGGAAUAUUGCAGAGUGGGGGAAACCCUGAUGCAGCAACGCCGCGUGAGUGAUGACGGUCUUCGGAUUGUAAAGCUCUGUCUUCAGGGACGAUAAUGACGGUACCUGAGGAGGAAGCCACGGCUAACUACGUGCCAGCCGCCGCCGUAA
rnacentral:rRNA from 1 species